GCGACCGUUGUCUAGGGGUUAGGAUUCAGGCCUUCCAAGCCUGUGGCCCGGGUUCGAUUCCCGGCGGUCGCACCA
rnacentral:tRNA from 2 species